rnacentral:lncRNA from 1 species
AGUCCCCUGGACGGCGGUCGAGUGGGCGCGGCCCCGCGGCCUUCCCCACACUCAGAGCCGGGGACACUGCUCGGUCGCCGGGCCUCGCGCUCCCCUGUGCCUCUGGCAGCCGGCGGCCACGCGGGGUGGCAAGACGGCUGCCGGGAGAACCCCCAGGGGGAGGCGGGUGCGGGGCGGCAGGACUGGGCUCCCGACCGUGGGACGAACAACGCGGACAGAGCCCGGGAGGCCACGAGCUAGAAGCGCAUCCGAGAGCGCGGGUGAACGGCUGCUGCUGGAAACCCGUGGACGGUGUGACGCAUGCUCUGUGCAGACGUCUGGGGGCGGGAGGAGGACGGGCCAGCAGGGGGCGCCCAGGGGCCAGCGGGAACCUCAGCACCGCCCCUCAGUCCUUCAAGGUCUAUUUCUUGGGAAUAAAGACAUUUCCAUUAAUACAGGGUCAUAAACGUGGUAAAUAUAAUUGUUGUCUCCGCAUCUAUUUUUAGGCCUGACUUAAGUUGUUUGAAAGCCAGUCGUACCCUUCGCCUUGGCGUAGGUAACACUUCUCCGUAUAUGGUGGUGUGUGAGAUAACUCGUUUAUUCUUUAUCUCAUUGACCUAAAGCGCAACACACCCCACAGCCGCUGACCGCCAUAGCACCUAAUGGCCAGUAUCAGUGCAGAUGAGUUCACCCUUCCCUCGUAUUUUCUUUAGCCAGUCCACAGGCCCCAAGGGAAAUCCUAAAGGAUGAUUUCCAUGGACCCUAGCACAGCCAUAGUCCCUUCCUUCCCACCGUCUCUCACUGCCCCUCUCCAUCUGCUUGUCCGCCUCUCUUAGGCAUCCCUAACCUCUCCGGAACCUAAGAAUAAUAAAUUCCUUCUGUUUUGUACCUUUUAAUUUUACUUUCUCAUUGUAUCUCACCUGAACCCCACACCCAUUCGGUUCUCCUAGAGAGUGGCUAUCUUGGCUUAUGGUCACUCUCCCUCAAGACCAAAUUAGAAAGAAGCCAUGACAGCAGAAAUCACAGCACACAGGGUACUGACACUAUCUAAUGCACAGUCCACACUCUAAUUGCACGAGGGCCCAACACCAUACUGGAGAGUUUCAGUAUUGUUUUUGUGGUCCAGGAUCCAGUUGCAUUCAGUCGUCAGGUUUCCUGAGUCUCCUUUGAUUGACCUUUCUGAGGAGUGCAGUGCACACUGGUAUAUGCUCAUGGGGUGAUGAGGUGAUGCGUUUCUGGCAGGACUGUCACUGAGGUGUUGCUGAGUUUUCAGAGCACCAGCCGGGAGGUAUGUGAUGUCGAUUUGCAUUUCUCUGAUUGAUGCUGGGUUUUUCUUUGGUAAUUAGUGUCAUGAGUGAAGACUUUGCAACCAUAGAUAUAGCCUAUGACUCCUCAAACCUUGACCCACUGGUUUUGGCAUUCAUGACUACUUCUUGCCUGAAAUAAUUAUUACCAUACUG